rnacentral:rRNA from 1 species
UACGGAGGGUGCAAGCGUUAUCCGGAUUUACUGGGUUUAAAGGGUGCGUAGGCGGAUAGGUAAGUCAGGGGUGAAAUCUUCGAGCUUAACUCGGAAAUUGCCUUUGAUACUAUCUAUCUUGAAUAUUGUGGAGGUAAGCGGAAUAUGUCAUGUAGCGGUGAAAUGCUUAGAGAUGACAUAGAACACCUAUUGCGAAGGCAGCUUACUACGCAUAUAUUGACGCUGAGGCACGAAAGCGUGGGGGAUCAAACAGG